rnacentral:rRNA from 1 species
AUUGAACGCUGGCGGCAGGCCUAACACAUGCAAGUCGAGCGAGCGGCGGACGGGUGAGUAAUGUCUGGGAAACUGCCUGAUGGAGGGGGAUAAAUACUGGAAACGGUAGCUAAUACCGCAUACCAUCAGAAGUGCCCAGAUGGGAUUAGCUAGUAGGUGAGGUACUGGCUCACCUAGGCGACGAUCCCUAGCUGGGCUGAGAGCGUGACCAGCCAAACUGGAACGGAGACACGGUCCAGACUCCUACGGGAGGCAGCAGUGGGGAAUAUUGCACAAUGGGCGCAAGCCGGAUGCAGCCAUGCAGCGUGUGUGAAGAAGGCCUUCGGGUUGUAAAGCACUUUCAGCGGGGAGGCGUUACCCGCAGAAGAAGCACCGGCUAACUCCGUGCCAGCCGCCGCGGUAAUAC